rnacentral:tRNA from 1 species
GCUUCCGUAGCUCAGUGGUCAGAGCGUCCGCCUGUCGAGCGGAGGGGCGCCGGUUCGAGUCCGGUCGGGAGCG